rnacentral:rRNA from 1 species
CCCUUAGAUGUUCUGGGCCGCACGCGCGCUACACUGACGAUGGCAACGAGUUUUUCCUUCGCCGAAAGGUGUGGGUAAUCUUUUGAAACAUCGUCGUGCUGGGGAUAGAUCAUUGCAAUUUUUGAUCUUGAACGAGGAAUUCCUAGUAAGCGCGAGUCAUCAGCUCGCGUUGAUUACGUCCCUGCCCUUUGUACACACCGCCCGUCGCUACUACCGAUUGAGUGAUCCGGUGAAUAAUUCGGACUGCGGCAUUGACCGGUUCCCGAUCGUUGCUGCGGAAAGUUUAGUGAACCUUAUCACUUAGAGGAAGGAGAAGUCGUAACA